GAUUCCUACGGGAGGCAGCAGUGGGGGAUAUUGCACAAUGGGGGGAACCCUGAUGCAGCGACGCCGCGUGAGUGAAGAAGUAUUUCGGUAUGUAAAGCUCUAUCAGCAGGGAAGAAAGAAAUGACGGUACCUGACUAAGAAGCCCCGGCUAACUACGUGCCAGCAGCCGCGGUAAUACGUAGGGGGCAAGCGUUAUCCGGAUUUACUGGGUGUAAAGGGGGCGCAGACGGCGAUGCAAGCCAGGAGUGAAAGCCCG
rnacentral:rRNA from 1 species